rnacentral:rRNA from 1 species
UGGGGAAUAUUGCACAAUGGGCGCAAGCCUGAUGCAGCCAUGCCGCGUGUGUGAAGAAGGCCUUCGGGUUGUAAAGCACUUUCAGCGGGGAGGAAGGCGUUAAGGUUAAUAACCUUGGCGAUUGACGUUACCCGCAGAAGAAGCACCGGCUAACUCCGUGCCAGCAGCCGCGGUAAUACGGAGGGUGCAAGCGUUAAUCGGAAUUACUGGGCGUAAGUCGCACGCAGGCGGUCUGUCAAGUCGGAUGUGAAAUCCCCGGGCUCAACCUGGGAACUGCAUUCGAGACUGGCAGGCUAGAGUCGUGUAGAGGGGGGUAGAAUUCCAGGUGUAGCGGUGAAAUGCGUAGAGAUCUGGAGGAAUACCGGUGGCGAAGGCGGCCCCCUGGGCAAAGACUGACGCUCAGGUGCGAAAGCGUGGGGAGCAAACAGG